GACGAACGCUGGCGGCGUGCUUAACACAUGCAAGUCGAACGGAAAGGCCCUGCUUUUGUGGGGUGCUCGAGUGGCGAACGGGUGAGUAACACGUGGGUGAUCUGCCCUGCACUUCGGGAUAAGCCUGGGAAACUGGGUCUAAUACCGGAUAGGACCACUUCUUGGAUGUUGUGGUGGAAAGUUUUUUCGGUGUGGGAUGAGCUCGCGGCCUAUCAGCUUGUUGGUGGGGUAAUGGUCUACCAAGGCGUCGACGGGUAGCCGGCCUGAGAGGGUGUACGGCCACAUUGGGACUGAGAUACGGCCCAGACUCCUACGGGAGGCAGCAGUGGGGAAUAUUGCACAAUGGGCGCAAGCCUGAUGCAGCGACGCCGCGUGGGGGAUGACGGCCUUCGGGUUGUAAACUCCUUUCGCUAGGGACGAAGCGUUUUUGUGACGGUACCUGGAGAAGAAGCACCGGCUAACUACGUG
rnacentral:rRNA from 1 species